rnacentral:rRNA from 1 species
UGAGGAAUAUUGGUCAAUGGGCGCGAGCCUGAACCAGCCAAGUCGCGUGAGGGAUGACGGCCCUACGGGUUGUAAACCUCUUUUGUCGGGGAGCAAAUUCCGUUACGUGUAACGGAGUCGAGAGUACCCGAAAGAAAAAGCAUCGGCUAACUCCGUGCC